rnacentral:rRNA from 1 species
UGGGGAAUAUUGGACAAUGGGCGAAAGCCGAUCCAGCCAUGCCGCGUGUGUGAAGAAGGCCUUUUGGUUGUAAAGCACUUUAAGUGGGGAGGAAAAGCUUAUGGUUAAUACCCAUAAGCCCUGACGUUACCCACAGAAUAAGCACCGGCUAACUCUGUGCCAGCAGCCGCGGUAAUACAGAGGGUGCAAGCGUUAAUCGGAAUUACUGGGCGUAAAGCGCGCGUAGGUGGUUAUUUAAGUCAGAUGUGAAAGCCCCGGGCUUAACCUGGGAACUGCAUCUGAUACUGGAUAACUAGAGUAGGUGAGAGGGGAGUAGAAUUCCAGGUGUAGCGGUGAAAUGCGUAGAGAUCUGGAGGAAUACCGAUGGCGAAGGCAGCUCCCUGGCAUCAUACUGACACUGAGGUGCGAAAGCGUGGGUAGCAAACAGGAUUAGAUACCCUGGUAGUCCACGCCGUAAACGAUGUCUACCAGUCGUUGGGUCUUUUAAAGACUUAGUGACGCAGUUAACGCAAUAAGUAGACCGCCUGGGGAGUACGGCCGCAAGGUUA